rnacentral:rRNA from 1 species
GGGCAGGACGAGGAGCUUGCUCCUUUGACGUUAGCGGCGGACGGGUGAGUAACACGUGGGUAACCUCUAUAAGACUGGAAUAACUCCGGGAAACCGGGGCUAAGGCCGGACAACAUAUCGAACCGCAUGGUUCGAUAGUGAAAGACGGUCUUGCUGUCACUUAUAGAUGGACCCGCGCCGUAUUAGCUAGUUGGUGAGGUAA